rnacentral:rRNA from 1 species
ACGAACGCUGGCGGCGUGCUUAACACCUGCAAGUCGAACGGAAAGGCCUUUUCGGAGGUACUCGAGUGGCGAACGGGUGAGUAACACGUGGGUGAUCUGCCCUGCACUCUGGGAUAAGCCUGGGAAACUGGGUCUAAUACCGGAUAGGACCGCACUUUAGUGUGUGUGGUGGAAAGUUUUUUCGGUGUAGGAUGAGCCCGCGGCCUAUCAGCUUGUUGGUGGGGUAAUGGCCUACCAAGGCGGCGACGGGUAGCCGGACUGAGAGGUUGGUCGGCCACAUUGGGACUGAGAUACGGCCCAGACUCCUACGGGAGGCAGCAGUGGGGAAUAUUGCACAAUGGGCGCAAGCCUGAUGCAGCGACGCCGCGUGGGGGAUGACGGCCUUCGGGUUGUAAACUCCUUUCGCCAGGGACGAAGCGUUUUGUGACGGUACCUGGAGAAGAAGCACCGGCUAACUACGUG